AAUGGUUGCUUUUACUCUUAUCUUGGAUCUGUCCUGUAGUGUAGACUUCUGCAAACUGCAUUUUCGUAUGCUGUCUCUGCACUUGAGAAAAUGGAUACAUUUUUUUCUUAUUACUAUAUAAAAUAUUUACAUCUUUCCAUUUGCCCUCAUUAGGUAAGACAUUUGCCUUCUCGCUCUUAUCUUUUAUUUUACAUUUUUGUGAUACAAGCAAAGGCUAUUUGUCUACAUCAGGGUUUUAUGUUCAAACUGAAAAAGUUCAUCAUGUCCUCCUGUAUAAAUAACCUUGGGAGACAGUACUGAUAAUACGGAUACAAAGGUCUAGUUUUCUUUCCAGUUGUAUGGAAGCUGCACUGCUUUAUCACGUCAAUUAAUGUCAAGCUAAUUCAUUUUGAGUAAACACUGCACUCUGAACAGCCUCAGUGACCUGUCAGGGAACUGCUGCAUUGACUAAGCAAUGGACAGCUAUCAGAGAACCACACAAACCAGACACAGGACGGAUGCCAAAUGUGCAGAUAAGCACUAUUAGAUUUUUAUGUUUCUCUCAUAUUUGAAUUACAUCUCAACAUUUCCCGUAACUCCCUUUGCACACAUCACAAUGUGCAGCAAUCCAUACAGGCAAUGUAGGCCAUUUCUUGAGCAGAACAAUGGAACUAAAUAUAAGGCCUUACACAUUGUUUAGACAUGAUUUAGCUACUGUUUUGUAUAUCUAAAAAUAGCUGGACGCAAAUGAGACCGGAAGCUAGACCCAUGGAAUUUACAAAUCACGGCACCCAUUUUGACGUCAAGAAAAAGGUGGAUAGGAGGAUCCCCACCUACAAAAAGUCUCCUACCGUCAUGGCCCACCAGUGUCCUGACAUUUUAUCCUACCCGUCAGAUUUUCCUACCAGGGUUAACUGCGCAUGCGCACAUCAAAAUCCUUUUUCUCACAAAUCUCCACCACAAAUCAACCUAAAUCUGCAUGUGACUCAUCACUCUAAAUUAACAGUGAAGCUGUGGCUUUAAUUUUAACAACUCCACUGUGAGAAAGAUAAUGUAUCUCUUGAGCGAUUAAGUUAUUUAUAGUUUAUAAAAAUAUGCAGGGCAGUGCUAAAAAGCUCUGAUUUCAUGCAAAGCGUGAUCUGUGUGAUUGAAUUUUCUCAUUUUAAUAAAUGUAUAUUGUAAUGUACUCAUAUUAAUAUAUAUAUUAAAAAAAUAAUUGCAUCAUUGAUGGUAGGUUAUCAUUGCACAAAUGAAUGCACUCUCUAAUAUAAAAAAAUAAAAUGAAAAGAAGAGUUCUAAACUAAUGCACUGUCUUCUGUCAGACUGGGACAGUGACAUGUCAUCUGUCUAGCUGUAGUUGCAUCUCCUGCUCCAGGGAAGAAGAAAACUAGAUGCUGGUGACAGACUUGUGCAUUUCCGUAAGUCCUACACCAGUAUUGAAGGCCAUCUCAGCGGAGGGAGGGCCACCAGUCAUUCCUACUGGGAUCAGGAAGGAUUGAGGGCAGGAUCGACCACUUGCGUGGUCGUGGACAAGCUCCUCAUCCCUUGCAUUAGAACCAGCUCCUUGAGUGACUUUGACACUUUUAAAGUUCUGUACUACAAGAAAACCAUGGUGUCAAAAGCCAACAGUUUGAAGUUUUCUACAGUACUUUUGCAGUGUUUAUAUGGGUCAAAUGAUGGUGAUUUCUUCUUUUGUGUUGGUGUAAUUGUUACAUCUGUGUUGUUAAAAUAAAAUUUCAAACUGA